AGUAAUAUGUCUGAAUUUAAGGUGAUAAAUUGUAAAUUUAUUUAUAGAAAGGUUUCUUGUUACUA
rnacentral:tRNA from 1 species